CAAUACAAUGGGUAACCUACCCUCAGGUGGGGGAAUAACUUCCCGAAAGGGAAGCUAAUGCCGACGAUACCCACCGGUUUCAUAAGAGGCCGGUGGAAAGCCGAACCGAGGGUUCGGCGCCUAAGGAUGGGCUCAUGUCCUAUCAGCUUGUUGGCGGGGUAAUGGCCCACCAAGGCUGCGACGGGUAGCUGGUCUGAGAGGACGACCAGCCACACUGGCACUGCGACACGGGCCAG
rnacentral:rRNA from 1 species